rnacentral:ncRNA from 1 species
AUUGUAGAGGCGCGUGUGUUAUCAGUAGUUUUUCUAAGAGGUAAGGCUUGAUGAUGAAUGAUGAAAGGAACCCAUGCCGAAGAGGGAUAUUGCCUUAUCAAUAUUUCAUCUGGAUAUGUAGUUAAUAGCUGCAUGUCUGUCACCGAUAGGAAGAGUAAUGAUAUUCGGAAUAGGGUGGAGUGCUACGGAAU